rnacentral:rRNA from 1 species
UACGGAGGGUGCAAGCGUUGUUCGGAUUUAUUGGGCGUAAAGCGCGUGUAGGCGGUUUCUUAAGUCGGAUGUGAAAGCCCUUGGCUCAACUGAGGAAGUGCAUCCGAAACUGGCAGGCUAGAGUACGUAAGAGGGUCGCGGAAUUCCCGGUGUAGAGGUGAAAUUCGUAGAUAUCGGGAGGAACACCGGUGGCGAAGGCGGCGACCUGGGUCGAGACUGACGCUGAGGCGCGAAAGCGUGGGGAGCAAACAGG